rnacentral:rRNA from 1 species
GGUUAAGUUAGAAAGGGCGCACGGUGGAUGCCUUGGCACUAGGAGCCGAAGAAGGACGGGACUAACACCGAUAUGCUUUGGGGAGCUGUACGUAAGCGUUGAUCCAGAGAUUUCCGAAUGGGGGAACCCACUAUCUUUAGUCGGAUAGUAUCCUUACGUGAAUACAUAGCGUGAGGAAGGCAGACCCAGGGAACUGAAACAUCUAAGUACCUGGAGGAAGAGAAAGAAAAAUCGAUUUCCUGAGUAGCGGCGAGCGAAACGGAAAGAGCCCAAACCAAGAAGCUUGCUUCUUGGGGUUGUAGGACACUCUAUACGGAGUUACAAAAGAAAGUUAUAAAUGAAGCGGUCUGGAAAGGCCCGCCAAAGACGGUAACAGCCCGGUAGUUGAAAUGGCUUUCCCUCCAGAGUGGAUCCUGAGUACGGCGGAACACGUGAAAUUCCGUCGGAAUCCGGGAGGACCAUCUCCCAAGGCUAAAUACUCCCUAGUGACCGAUAGUGAACCAGUACCGUGAGGGAAAGGUGAAAAGCACCCCGGAAGGGGAGUGAAACAGUUCCUGAAACCGUGUGCCUACAAGUAGUUAGAGCCCGUUAAUGGGUGAUAGCGUGCCUUUUGUAGAAUGAACCGGCGAGUUACGAUUUGUUGCAAGGUUAAGCGGAAAAAGCGGAGCCGUAGCGAAAGCGAGUCUGAAUAGGGCGCAUAAGUAACAGGUCGUAGACCCGAAACCAGGUGAUCUACCCAUGUCCAGGAUGAAGGUAAGGUAAUACUUACUGGAGGUCCGAACCCACGCACGUUGAAAAGUGCGGGGAUGAGGUGUGGGUAGCGGAGAAAUUCCAAUCGAACUUGGAGAUAGCUGGUUCUCUCCGAAAUAGCUUUAGGGCUAGCCUCGAGGUAAAGAGUCAUGGAGGUAGAGCACUGUUUGGACUAGGGGCCCUUCUCGGGUUACCGAAUUCAGAUAAACUCCGAAUGCCAUGUACUUAUACUCGGGAGUCAGACUGCGAGUGAUAAGAUCCGUAGUCGAAAGGGAAACAGCCCAGACCACCAGUUAAGGUCCCCAAAUAUAUGUUAAGUGGAAAAGGAUGUGGGGUUGCUUAGACAACCAGGAUGUUGGCUUAGAAGCAGCCACCAUUGAAAGAGUGCGUAAUAGCUCACUGGUCGAGUGACCCCGCGCCGAAAAUGUACCGGGGCUAAACAUAUUACCGAAACUGUGGAUGAACCUCUUUAGAGGUUCGUGGUAGGAGAGCGUUCUAAGGGCGGUGAAGUCAGACCGGAAGGACUGGUGGAGCGCUUAGAAGUGAGAAUGCCGGUAUGAGUAGCGAAAGAAGGGUGAGAAUCCCUUCCACCGAAUAUCUAAGGUUUCCUGAGGAAGGCUCGUCCGCUCAGGGUUAGUCGGGACCUAAGCCGAGGCCGAUAGGCGUAGGCGAUGGACAACAGGUAGAGAUUCCUGUACCAGUGCUAAUUGUUUAACCGAUGGGGUGACACAGAAGGAUAGGGAAUCGCACGAAUGGAAAUGUGCGUCCAAGCAGUGAGUGUGAGAAGUAGGCAAAUCCGCUUCUCGCNNNNNNNNNNNNNNNNNNNNNNNNNNNNNNNNNNNNNNNNNNNNNNNNNNNNNNNNNNNNNNNNNNNNNNNNNNNNNNNNNNNNNNNNNNNNNNCUCGCGAAGCAUGAGCUGUGAUGGGGAAGGAAAUUAAGUACGGAAGUUCCUGAUUUCACGCUGUCAAGAAAAGCCUCUAGGAAGAGUAGUACUGCCCGUACCGCAAACCGACACAGGUAGAUGAGGAGAGAAUCCUAAGGUGAGCGAGAGAACUCUCGUUAAGGAACUCGGCAAAAUGACCCCGUAACUUCGGGAGAAGGGGUGCUCUAUUAGGGUGCAAGCCCGAGAGAGCCGCAGUGAAUAGGCCCAGGCGACUGUUUAGCAAAAACACAGGUCUCUGCAAAACCGUAAGGUGACGUAUAGGGGCUGACGCCUGCCCGGUGCUGGAAGGUUAAGAGGAGUGCUUAGCUUCGGCGAAGGUACGAAUUGAAGCCCCAGUAAACGGCGGCCGUAACUAUAACGGUCCUAAGGUAGCGAAAUUCCUUGUCGGGUAAGUUCCGACCCGCACGAAAGGCGCAACGAUCUGGGCACUGUCUCAACGAGAGACUCGGUGAAAUUAUAGUACCUGUGAAGAUGCAGGUUACCCGCGACAGGACGGAAAGACCCCGUGGAGCUUUACUGCAACCUGAUAUGGAAUGUUUGUACCGCUUGUACAGGAUAGGUAGGAGCCGAAGAGACGUGUGCGCUAGCAUACGAGGAGGCAAUGGUGGGAUACUACCCUGGCUGUAUGACCAUUCUAACCCGCCACGCUUAGCGCGUGGGGAGACAGUGUCAGGUGGGCAGUUUGACUGGGGCGGUCGCCUCCUAAAGAGUAACGGAGGCGCCCAAAGGUUCCCUCAGAAUGGAUGGAAAUCAUUCGCAGAGUGUAAAGGCACAAGGGAGCUUGACUGCGAGACUGACAAGUCGAGCAGGGACGAAAGUCGGGCUUAGUGAUCCGGUGGUUCCGCAUGGAAGGGCCAUCGCUCAACGGAUAAAAGCUACCCCGGGGAUAACAGGCUUAUCUCCCCCAAGAGUCCACAUCGACGGGGAGGUUUGGCACCUCGAUGUCGGCUCGUCGCAUCCUGGGGCUGUAGUCGGUCCCAAGGGUUGGGCUGUUCGCCCAUUAAAGCGGCACGCGAGCUGGGUUCAGAACGUCGUGAGACAGUUCGGUCCCUAUCCGUCGCGGGCGCAGGAAAUUUGAGAGGAGCUGUCCUUAGUACGAGAGGACCGGGAUGGACACACCGCUGGUGUACCAGUUGUUCCGCCAGGAGCAUCGCUGGGUAGCUAUGUGUGGCAGGGAUAAACGCUGAAAGCAUCUAAGCGUGAAGCCCCCCUCAAGAUGAGAUUUCCCAUUUCUUCGGAAAGUAAGAUCCCUGAAAGAUGAUCAGGUAGAUAGGUUUGGAGUGGAAGUGUAGCGAUACAUGGAGCGGACAAAUACUAAUCGAUCGAGGACUUAACCAA